GAUGAAGAACGCAGCGAAAUGCGAUACGUAAUGUGAAUUGCAGAAUUCAGUGAAUCAUCGAAUCUUUGAACGCACAUUGCGCCUGCCAGCACUCUGGCAGGCAUUCCUGUUCGAGCGUCAUUUCAACCAUCAAGCCCUAGGCUUGCGUUGGAGCCCUGCGGCUGCCGCAGGCCCCUAAAAGCAGUGGCGGGCUCGCUAUCACACCGAGUGCAGUAGAUUACUCUUCGCUCAGGGCGUGUGGCGGGUUCCAGCCGUGAAACCCCCUACUUCUCAAGGUUGACCUCGGAUCAGGUAGGAAUACCCGCUGAACUUAAGCAUAUCAAUAAGCGGAGGA
rnacentral:misc_RNA from 1 species